GUACACGCUGUGACUAGCAUAUCAAUAAGCGGAGGAAAAGAAACUAACAAGGAUUCCCCUAGUAACGGCGAGUGAAGCGGGAAGAGCUCAAAUUUGAAAUCUUAAAGGGUUUCCCUUUACGAAUUGUAGUUUAAAGAAGUGUUUUCUGUUGAGGUUUUGGUAAAAGUUCUUUGGAAUAGGACAUCAUAGAGGGUGAGAAUCCCGUAUUUGACCUUUACUUUCAACUUUGUGAUACACUUUCAAAGAGUCGGAUUGUUUGGGAAGUGCAGUCCAAAAUGGGUGGUAAAUUUCAUCUAAAGCUAAAUAUUGGCGAGAGACCGAUAGCGAACAAGUACCGUGAGGGAAAGAUGAAAAGAACUUUGAAAAGAGAGUUAAACAGUACGUGAAAUUGUCAAAAGGGAAGCGUUUGACACCAGUGUUGUUUUUCUGAAAAUCAAUUAAAGAACUGUUUAUGCUAAGUUGUUUAGACUUUAUCAGCUAACUGUUUAGUUUUGAGCUUUUCUUUAAUGCACUUUUCAGUUAACAAGUCAACAUCAAUUUCUUUUGCUGUAAAAAAGCUUGAGGAAGGUGGCUUGAGAUUCGUCUUAAGUGUUUAUAGCCUCUUGCCUAUGCAGUCGGAGAGAUUGAGGUCCUGCAGCGUAGAUCCUUCGGGGCUAAAUGCAUUUGUGCUAAGUUAUAGCAUUUUAUAGACAACUUGUUGACUAUGAUUUGUCUUGUAGCUUACUCGCUUAUGUUAUUUUACCUACGCUUAGGAUGUUGACAGCAGUAUAGACUGU
rnacentral:rRNA from 1 species